CGGAUAAUGACAGACGACGAAGACGAAUAAACGGGUAUUGGAAAAUUGGAAAAAAACGACCACCACCAACUUCUAAAAACAUCGAUUCGUCGAUUUAAAGGUUAUGUUGAUGGUUACAAAAGUCAGGGAUGAACAGACACCUCAGCCAGUGCAUCCAGUUAUUCCUGUCAAUGACUGACAAUUUAAUCCAGAGGCCAUGAUACUUGGAUUUAUGGCUGAACAUGCUCCCUGGCACCACAGUAGUGUGUCUUACUUAAGACACUUGCCAAAGAUACAAAAGCUCUCAGCGAAUUAAAACUUCAAAGGUGUACAGCAUCAUACAAGAUGACUUACGGAGUGGCUAGCCAUUCAAUGAUGAACAUGUGGAGGAGUUAAUGGAUCUCGGUUUUGUUUCAACUAAGACAAGUCAACAAACACAAUGAGAAAUCUGUUGCAGCUAUUUUUCUGCUAUAGAGAAAAAAAUAGUGUUGAGACAUUUGGCCUCCUUAAAAAUCACUAGGGCUGAUUCUGAAUCAAUUUUCAUAGAAUUUGAAAGCACCAUGAGGGGAAAUAAUCUGGCUUAGGGACCAGAAUACGUCAAAGUCCACCAUGUCCACAACGGCUACGCUGCCAAAGCAUUUAAGUCCCGUUUGGAUAUUACUUGGAAUAAUAUAUAUAAUAAUUAAUAACACUAUAUUCUCAUCAAAUGUGCAGAAAAUGGAAUAAAUACUCUUUUUAUGAUACAUGAAAAUUGAAUAAUUAACACUUUUACAAUAAACAUUUGCAAGCAUCAUAA